GAGUGAAUAUUUACAACUUGAGAUUAAUGAAAAGAGGGGAAAAUGAUACUGACUGGGAUUAGGUCAGUGGAAGCGGUUAUCCAAUGCUGACUAGCUUCCAGUAGGGGUCGGCGUUUGCUCCGGGUAAGGGGUUUUGAUUUAGGGAGGUGGGAUCU
rnacentral:rRNA from 1 species